UGAUCAGGGAAGACUACCCGCUGAGUUUAA
rnacentral:rRNA from 1 species